rnacentral:lncRNA from 10 species
AGUACUGAGGUAGCGCUCGUCCUCCCGCCGGUCCACCACCACCGAGUGUAGCCCGGGCCCGGCCUAUUUCAUCAGACACAACCCCAGAGCCGGGAGCCACCCCUACCCCGGGAGCCCUUCGCCAAGCACGCAGCUCCAGACCAGAAGCAGUCGCUCCGACCCAGAGCUCCGGGCAGAAGAAUCUUUUCUUGCUGCUCUCCUAGGAUCUACCAACCAGAGAUUCUAAUGUGAUACGUUUGGAAUGGAGUUAUCGAUCUGCAUUUUUAAUAGGCAUUCCUCCAGUGCUGCCUGGAUGGCCUGCCAAAACUGCAACACAGCUGCCACCAGCAUUGCUGCCCAUAAAGGAGCAGAGUGCAGCAGUGGGUACGGCAGGAUACAGCAAGAGCUGAAGACCCUUGUGAUCUCUGGCAACAAAGGAAUUUCUGCCUUACCUGCAUCAGACAACCUUUUGAAAUCAGUAGGACCAUCCCUGAAGCAGCUGGCACAGAAGACCUGAGAUGUAAGGUUUCCCUGGAGUUCCCCAGUGGCUACCCAUACAACAUGCCCUUGGUUAAGUUCCUCACGCCCUGCUACUAUCUCAACGUGGACGCCCAGUGUUAACACCUGUCUGGACAUCCUGAAGGACGAGUGGUCUGCCCUGUAUGAUGUCAAGAACACCCUGCACUCCAUCCACAGCCUGCUAGUAGAACUCAACAUCAAUAGCCUUUUGAACACACAUGCUGCUGAGCUCUAGAAAAACUCCACAGCUUUUAAGAAAUAUCUGCAAGAAAUCUACUCAAAGCACGUCUCCAGGAAGGAGCCCUAACUCGGGCUGCCCAACCUCUCCUUGUGUUGUCUCUUCAUUUUUCCCUUAGAUGGUCUGUCUUUGCUUGAUUUCUGUAUAGGACUCUGUAUCUUGAGCUGUGGUGUUAUUUUUGUUUUGUUUCUGUUUUUUAUUUUUUAUUUUAUUUUUGAGACAGGGUCUUGCUCUAACAGGCUGGAGUGCAAUGGCAUGAUCACGGCUCACUGUAGCCUCGAUCUCCUAGGCUCAAUCAAUCCUGCCACCUCAGCCUCCUGAGCAGCUGGAACCACAGGUGUAAGCCACAGUGCCAGGCUAAUUUUUAAUUUUUUUUUGUAGAUAUGGGGUCUCCCUGUAUUAUCCAGGCUGUCCUGGAACUCCAGGGAUCAAGAGAUUCUCUUACCUUGUCCUCCCAAAGUGCUGGGAUUACAGGCAUGAGCCAUGACAUUUUGCCCAUUUCUGUUUUUAAAAUUAAGUCUCUGAUUGAGCUCUUGUGAUGUAUAUUAAAUAAAUACAUUUUGUUUAUUUUUGUAAAAAGAAAUUGUAAAUUAAAAUUUAU